rnacentral:rRNA from 1 species
AUGAGGAACUCGGUGUCGGACCAGAGCUUCGUCAUGGAGAGCGACGACGAGGAGCACCGCAGCGAGGAGGGGGAGGAGGAGUCGGACGGGUCGUCGUCGUGCGGGAGCCCGCGGGUGGUCGAGGCCGCCGCCGGUGGCCACCCCGGCUCCUACGCCACCCACCAGUGGCCGCAGAGCUACAGGCAGUCGAUGGACAUAUACAGCAGCGUGCAGUCCCCGAGCCUGAGCGGGUUCCUGGGCACGCCCACGCUCAGCAGGCUCUCCAGCUCCUUCCUCGCCACCUCCUUCCGCGGGAAGCCGCCACUGGAGAUCGUCAAGCCGCUCCUGCCCACCACCCUGAUCGCCACCGAAGACGACCAUGUCGAUGAUGCCCGGAAGAGCUCUCACCAGUAUCUGCCGCCGUCCAGGAAGGCGUCGUCCCUGUUCAAGAUCCCCGAGGACCAGAAGCCUCUUGGUGGUGGGGGUGGCCAUGAGGUGGGGCCCUACCGUCAGUGCUCCUACACUCAGGGCGUCAUGAAUGGAGUGAAUGUCCUGUGUGGUGUGGGGAUCCUGUCAACACCUUAUGCCGUCAGGCAGGGUGGCUGGCUCGGGCUUGUGAUACUGGCCGUGCUCGCCGUGCUGGCGUGGUACACCGGCGUGCUCCUCCGGCGCUGCCUCGACAGCAAGGAAGGCCUCGAGACCUACCCGGACAUCGGCCACGCCGCGUUCGGCACGCCUGGCCGCAUCGUCAUCUCGAUAAUCCUGUACAUGGAACUGUAUGCUUGUUGCAUUGAGUAUCUGAUACUGGAGAGUGAUAAUCUAUCAAAGUUGUUCCCCAAUGCACACCUGACAAUAGGGGGCUUCAGCCUGGAUGCCCAUGUGUUAUUCGCAAUCCUUACGACGCUCGUUGUCAUGCCGACAACAUGGCUUCACGACCUCAGUUGUCUAAGCUUCAUUUCAGCUGGAGGAGUCGUCGCGUCGAUCGUCAUCGUCGCCUGCCUCUUUUGGGCAGGGCUUGUUGAUCAUGUUGGUGUCAACAAGAGCGAAGGGACGGCACUGAACCUCCCUGGGAUCCCCAUUGCCAUUGGCUUGUAUGGGUACUGCUACUCAGGGCAUGGGGUGUUCCCUAACAUCUACUCUUCUCUGAAGAAAAGCAACCAAUUCAACGCCGUUCUUUUCACAUGCAUCGCGCUAUCCACUGUUUUGUUCGCCGGUGCCGCGGUCAUGGGGUACAUAAUGUUUGGCGAAACCACGGAGUCUCAGUUCACACUGAACAUGCCCCCAAAUCUUAUGUCUUCCAAGAUUGCAGUCUGGACUACGGUGACAAAUCCAAUAACCAAAUAUGCACUUACCAUGACUCCUCUUGCCCUGAGUUUGGAAGAGCUGCUGCCUCCGAAUAGACAGACGUACGGGAACAUAAUUAUGCUCAGAUCAGCACUAGUGUUGUCUUCCCUUGUUGUUGCUCUAUCUGUUCCAUUCUUUGGACUUGUGAUGUCCCUAGUUGGGUCUCUUCUCACCAUGUUUGUGGCGUAUAUUCUACCUUGUGCAUGCUUUUUGGCCAUCCUAAGGAGUACAGUGACUUGGUAUCAGAUAGUACUAUGUGUGUUCAUCAUUGUCGUCGGUCUCUGUUGUGCGGGUAUUGGCACAUACUCCUCCCUUUCUAAGAUCAUCCAAAAUUAUCAGUAA